UUUAACAAUCCAAUAUGUUGAUGCUUUACAAUCCUCGGUGGAUGCCACAUGCUCCAAAUUUGUUUGAGUGGAUACUCGCUGUAGCAUAUUUCGAGUUUUCACAGUCUAACAUGAUCUUUUUAGGUAUCAUCGAUUACCAAUUCGUUAGUUGCUUACUAUAGAGUUGGGAAUUUUCGUAUUUGGUUCACUUGGUAUAUGGGUCAUCCAAAGUUGGCUUGUUUUAAGUGAUCUAAACCUUUUUGUAUAAUUGGAUUGUUUUAGUGAUCCAAACCCUUUGUAUUGUUAUAGCCAUUUUCUGUGAUCCUAAUCAAUUUCAUAUGUUGAGGCCCAUGUCCAACAUUCUUAGCAAGUGUUUCACAACUCUUGCUGGAUGCCACAUGCAAAAAGAAAAAAAAAAAUCGUUAGGAGAGCAUAAGCAUGGCCAUAGAGUACUUUGAAUGGGCUAGGCAAGUGAUUUUCAAUGACUAAAACCAGUCAUAUAGUUGGGCCCUUAUUCAGUGUUCCAAACCAAUCAUAUAAUUGGACCUAUGUUUAGUCAUCCAAACUCUUCUUAUAGUUUAGGACAUUUCGUAGGGCAUUCAUUGUUCAUUGUGAUGGAUGUUUUUAAAUGGAGGCUGAUUUCAAUGAAUGAGAUGUAUGAGGAGAUACAUGAAUAUAUCCAUGAGGUAUACCAAAAAUUCUAAUAGGUGAUACAGUAUGUACAAUGAUGGUGCCUUUUAAUUGUUCAUUGUGAUGAAUGUUCUAAAUGGAGUCUAAUUUCAAUGAACGAUAUGUAUAAAGGGAUAUAUGAAUAUAUCCAUGAGGUCUACUCAAAAUUCCAAUAGGUGAUAUAGUAUGUACAAUGAUAGUGCCUUUUAAUUGUUCAUGGGGAAAAACCCUUAAACUUCAACUCCUAACUUCAAGACACUAUUUAUUAUCAAAGAAAUAUCUUUGAUAACCUUUAUGCUGGAUGACCCAAGAUGGUGAUUAUGAGCCUCUACCAUGGAAUAGGAAUUCUUCAAAAUUUAUGUGAGAUAUUAAAUGAGGUGGUGGGGAUUUACCAAUGAAGGGUUGUAAAAUCAAAGAAACUAUGGGAGAAAUUCUCAUUUACCACAUCUAUUAUUUUUCAUAUGAUCAUACAUAGCUCCAUGAAGGGUGACGACGUUCACUUGACUUGUGGAAAGAAAGAGGGUGUUGACAACCAAUAAUUUUCAAUUGUUUUCUUCAUUUUUCCAGGUUGGGCUACAGUUGAUGCUUUCUUUGUAUAAUAACAAACCAAAUGGGAUACUGGCAGAUGAGAUGAGUUUUGGCAAGAUUGCACAGUUCAUAGUCCUGCUCAGAGAAGGAAGUUGUUGCUGCACAGAUUCCAAGAGAAGCAUGCACCACUAAAGUUCAAGUGAUUUAGCCUGGUGCUAUUAUGCUACCUUGCUUCUGCUUUUGUGAGUUCUAAGCUGUUAAACAACAAUGCGUGAGUCCUGCUCAAAGAAGGACGUUGCUGCUACACAGAUUCCAAGAGAAGUAUGCAUUACUAAGUUCAGGAAUUUGAAAAUAUAACUUUUGGAGAGAAUGGAAUGCAAAAUUAGAAGAGCAGAAGCUUGAAAAAGUGGUCCACACAUAGCAUUUGCGGACCACCUGAUGCCUAGACUGCCCUAAUUUUUAGCCAUGAGACACCACCUGAACUUCCUGGAUCUUUCUUACAUUGCACUCCACAUUGGCAAGCAUGGGAGAAUGAUUUGAAAUCCUACUCAUGUAA